rnacentral:tmRNA from 1 species
UGUUGUAGGCGGGAUUCGGGCUGAAGGCGUAAGUCGUCCGUUCGAGCCCCGUGGAAAGCGAAGGCGAAAGGCGGUCUGGACGGGAGUUCGAUUCUCCCCACCUCCACCAGAUGCCGAUGGCGGGCAAGCCGGUAACACAACGCCGUCGCCAUCUGCCGGGGGUGACCUGGUUUCGACAGGCUGAAUGAGUACCCGGAGUCACAACACGUCAGGCGCCUGACGUAAAUAGCGCAAACUCCAUAAACGUCAACAACGUUUACGUCGAAGGCAAGGACAUCGGCAGCCGUUUCGCUGGUCCCGUCAACGACGCAUGUGAACGGAUGACGGCCUAAUAGCCGUUGUCA